UACGUAGGGACCAAGCGUUGUUCGGAUUUACUGGGCGUAAAGGGCGCGUAGGCGGCUGUUCAAGUCGAACGUGAAAACUCGGAGCUCAACUCCGAGCCUGCGUUCGAUACUGGACGGCUAGAGUCUGGUAGGGGGAUCUGGAAUUCCUGGUGUAGCGGUGGAAUGCGCAGAUAUCAGGAGGAACACCGGUGGCGAAGGCGGGAUCCUGGGCCAGUACUGACGCUGAGGAGCGAAAGCGUGGGGAGCAAACAGG
rnacentral:rRNA from 1 species